GACGAACGCUGGCGGCGUGCCUAAUACAUGCAAGUAGAACGCACAGUUUAUACCGUAGCUUGCUACACCAUAAACUGUGAGUUGCGAACGGGUGAGUAACGCGUAGGUAACCUGCCUGGUAGCGGGGGAUAACUAUUGGAAACGAUAGCUAAUACCGCAUAAUAUUGAUUAUUGCAUGAUAAUUGAUUGAAAGAUGCUAUUGCAUCACUACCAGAUGGACCUGCGUUGUAUUAGCUAGUAGGUGAGGUAACGGCUCACCUAGGCGACGAUACAUAGCCGACCUGAGAGGGUGAUCGGCCACACUGGGACUGAGACAAGGCCCAGACUCCUACGGGAGGCAGCAGUAGGGAAUCUUCGGAAAUGGACGAAAGUCUGACCGAGCAACGCCGCGUGAGUGAAGAAGGUUGUCGGAUCGUAAAGCUCUGUUGUAAGAGAAGAACGGGUGUGAGAGUGGAAAGUUCACACUGUGACGGUAUCUUACCAGAAAGGGACGGCUAACUACGUG
rnacentral:rRNA from 1 species